rnacentral:rRNA from 1 species
GACAGCAGCCGCCACGGGAAUACGUAGGGUGCAAGCGUUAAUCGGAAUUACUGGGCGUAAAGCGUGCGCAGGCGGUUAUAUAAGACAGAUGUGAAAUCCCCGGGCUCAACCUGGGAACUGCAUUUGUGACUGUAUAGCUAGAGUACGGCAGAGGGGGAUGGAAUUCCGCGUGUAGCAGUGAAAUGCGUAGAUAUGCGGAGGAACACCGAUGGCGAAGGCAAUCCCCUGGGCCUGUACUGACGCUCAUGCACGAAAGCGUGGGGAGCAAACAGGAUUAGAUACCCCCGUAGUCCCUGUCUCUUAUAC